CAUUCACGGAGAGUUUGAUCCUGGCUCAGGACGAACGCUGGCGGCGUGCUUAACACAUGCAAGUCGAACGAUGAACCGCUUUCGGGCGGGGAUUAGUGGCGAACGGGUGAGUAACACGUGGGCAAUCUGCCCUGCACUCUGGGACAAGCCCUGGAAACGGGGUCUAAUACCGGAUAUGACUGUUCAUCGCAUGGUGGAUGGUGUAAAGCUCCGGCGGUGCAGGAUGAGCCCGCGGCCUAUCAGCUUGUUGGUGAGGUAGUGGCUCACCAAGGCGACGACGGGUAGCCGGCCUGAGAGGGCGACCGGCCACACUGGGACUGAGACACGGCCCAGACUCCUACGGGAGGCAGCAGUGGGGAAUAUUGCACAAUGGGCGAAAGCCUGAUGCAGCGACGCCGCGUGAGGGAUGACGGCC
rnacentral:rRNA from 1 species